rnacentral:rRNA from 2 species
CCAAAUACCAACCAGUACGAAGACAUACCAAUCAGAGUCUUGUAAGCAGUCCUAUAAGCCCAUAAGGCAUCAUCCAGUUUCUUUGACCAGUCAGUCCUAUUUGUAUUGACAGUCUUUGACAAUAUGCUCUUAAUCUCCCGGUUGGAGACCUCAACUUGCCCACUAGCCCGAGGAUGGUAAGGGGUUGAAACCUUGUGACUGACACCAUACUUUGCAAGCAAAGUGUUAAAUGACUUAUUGUAGAAAUGAGAACCCCCAUCACUGAUGAUUGCUCUAGGAGUGCCAAACCGAGUAAAGAUAUUCUUCUUGAGAAAAGCCACCACACUCUGUGCCUUGUUGUUGGGUAAAGCCACGGUCUCAACCCAUUUGGAAACAUAAUCAAUGACCACCAGAAUGUAUGUGUUUCCACAUGAACUCACAAAAGGUCCUAUGAAGUCAAUGCCCCACACGUCAAAUAUGUGAACCUCAAGAAUAGUUGUGAGAUGCAUUUCAUCCUUCUUUGAAAUUCCACCUGCUCUCUGACACUCGGGACGCGAAAGAUGGUGAUCUAUGCCUGAGUGGCAUGAAGCCAGAGGAAAAUUUGGUGGAGGCCCGCAAUGAUACUGAUGUGCAAAUCAUUCGUCUGACUUGGGUAUAGGGGCAAAAGACUAAUCGAACCGUCUAGUAGUUGGUUCCCUCUGAAAUUUCCCUCAGGAUAACUGGAGUUUGAGUGUGGGUUAUAUCGGGUAAGGCCAACGAUUAGAGGCUUCGGGGUCACAACUCCCUUGAUGUAUUCUCAAUCUUUAAAUAGGUAGGACGACGCGACUUCUUUAUUGAUCCAUGCCAUGAAAUCAAGAGCUCCAAGUGGGCCAUUUUUGGUAAGAAGAACUGGCGAUGCGGGAUGAACCGGAAGCCGGGUUACAAUGCCAAACUGCGCACUAACCUAGAUCCCACAAAGGGUGUUGGUCGAUUAAGACAGCAUAACGGUGGUCAUAGAAGUCAAAAUCCACUAAGGAGUGUGUAACAACUCACCUACCGAAUCAACUAGCCCCGAAAAUGGAUGGCUCUUAAGUGCGUGACCUACAUCCGGCCGUCGGGGCAAGUUCAUGGCCCCGAUGAGUAGGAGGGCGUGGCGGUAGCUGCAAAACCUUGAGCGUGAGCCUGGGCGGAGCGAUCGUCGGUGCAGAUCUUGGUGGUAGUAGAAAAUAUUCAAAUGAGAACUUUAAAGGCCAAAGAGAGGAAAUCUUCCAUGUGAACGACACUUGCUCAUGGGUUAGUCGAUCCUAAGGGUCGGGGGAACCCUAAGAAAUAGCGCGUUUCGCGCGUAAUCCGAAAGGGAAUCGGGUUAAAAUUCUUGAACCGAGAUGUGGCGGUUGACAGCAAUGUUAGGAAGUCCAGAGAUGUCGGCGGUGGCCUCAGAAAGAGUUAUCUUUUUGUUUAAUAGCAUGCCCACCCUGGAAACGAAUCAGUCGGAGUCAAGGUCCAGCAGCUUAAAGAGCACCGCACGUCGCGUGGUGUCCGGUGCGCCCCAGCAGCCCUUGAAUAUCUGGAGAACCGAGUUCCGUCCAUGCCCGGUCGUACUCAUAAUCACAUUAGGUCUCCAAGGUGAACAACCUUUGGUUGAUGGAACAAUGUAAGCAAGGUUAGUCGGCAAAUGGAUCUGUAACUUCGGGAAAAGGAUUAGCUCUGAGGGCUGGGAAUGAGGGUCCUAGUCUCAAACCCAUUGGUUGUCGGUGGAAUACGCACGCUGCUCCCAUGGCGAGAGCGGGUCGCCGCGUGCCAACCGGGGGAAAAACUGGGAACGGUUCCUUUGGGGGCCUUCCCCAGGCGUCGAACAACCAAUUCAGAACUGGUAAGGACAAGAAGAAUCUGACUGUUUAAUUAAAACAAAGCAUUGCGAUGGUCCCUGCAGAUGUUUACGUAAUGUGAUUUCUGCCUAGUACUCUGAAUGUCAAAGUGAAGAAAUUUAACCAAGCGCGGGUAAAUGGCGGGAGCAACUAUGACUCUCUUAAGGUAUCCAAAUGCCUUGUCAUCUAAUUAGUGACACACAUGAAUAGAUUAAUAAGAUUCUCACUAUCCCUGUCUACUAUCCAGCAUAACUACAGCCAAGGGAACGUGCUUGGUAGAAUCAGCGGGGAAAGAAGACCCUGUUGAGAUUGACUGUAAUCCGACUUUAUGAAAUGACUUGAGAGGUGUAGUAUAAGUGGGAGCCGAAAGACGAAAGUGAAAAACCAGUAUACCACUACUUCUAACGUUAUUUUACUUAUUAUGUGAAUCAGAAGUGGAGCACUGCCCCUCUUUUUGGACCCAAGGUUUACUUGCAGGCCGAUCUGGGUGGAAGACAUUGUUAGGUGGGGAGUUUGGUUGGGGCAGCACAUCUGUUAAAACAUAAUGCAGGUGUCCUAAGAUGAGCUCAACGGGAAUAGAAAUCUCGUGUGGAACAGAAGGGUAAAAACUCGUUUGAUUCUAAUUUUCAAUAUGAAUACGAACCAUGAAAACGUGGCCUAACGAUCCUUUAGACCUUCGGAAUUCGAAGCUAGAGGUGUCAGAAAAGUUAACAUAGGGAUAACUGGCUUAUGACAGCCAAGCGUUCAUAGCGACGUUGCUUUUUGAUCCUUCGAUUUCGGCUCUUCCUAUCAUUGUGAAGCAGAAUUCAUCAAGUAUUCGAUUGUUUACCCACCAAUAGGGAACGUGAGCUGGGUUUAGACCGUCAUGAGAUAGGUUAGUUUUACCCUACUGAUGACAGUGUCGCAAUAGUAAUUCAACCUAGUACGAGAGGAACUGUUGAUUUGCACAAUUGGUCAUCGCGCUUGGUUGAAAAGCUAGUGGUGCAAAGCUACCAUGCGCUAGAUUAUGACUGAACGCCUCUAAGUCAGAAUCCGGUCUAGAAGCGAUGCAUGCGCCCACCGUCCACUUACAGACACGCAGUAGGGGCCUUUGGCCCCCAAGGGAAAGUGUCGUUGGUUAAGUCAUCGCGGUGGAAUAGCCGCGGUGGCCGCCUU